AGUAACACGUGGAUAACCUACCUAUAAGACUGGGAUAACUUCGGUAAACCGGAGCUAAUACCGGAUAACAUUUGGAACCGCAUGGUUCUAAAGUGAAAGACGGUCUUGCUGUCACUUAUAGAUGGAUCCGCGCUGCAUUAGCUAGUUGGUAAUGUAACGGCUUACCAAGGCAACGAUGCAUAGCCGACCUGAGAGGGUGAUCGGCCACACUGGAACUGAGACACGGUCCAG
rnacentral:rRNA from 1 species